GAUGAACGCUAGCUACAGGCUUAACACAUGCAAGUCGAGGGGAAACGAUAGAGAAAGCUUGCUUUUUCUAGGCGUCGACCGGCGCACGGGAGAGCAACGCGUAUCCAACCUGCCCAUCACUUGGGGAUAACCUUGCGAAAGUAAGACUAAUACCCAAUGAUAUCUCUAGAAGACAUCUGAAGGAGAUUAAAGAUUUAUCGGUGAUGGAUGGGGAUGCGUCUGAUUAGCUUGUUGGCGGGGUAACGGCCCACCAAGGCGACGAUCAGUAGGGGUUCUGAGAGGAAGGUCCCCCACAUUGGAACUGAGACACGGUCCAAACUCCUACGGGAGGCAGCAGUGAGGAAGAUUGGUCAAUGGACGAGAGUCUGGACCAGCCAAGUAGCGUGCAGGAUAACGGCCCUAUGGGUUGUAAACUGCUUUUAUAAGGGACUAAAGUGGGAGUCGUGACUCCUUUUGCAUGUACCUUAUGAAUAAGGACCGGCUAAUUCCGUGCCAGCCGCCGCCGAA
rnacentral:rRNA from 1 species